UUUAGGAGCUAAGCGACGAGCGGCGCAAUGGAUGCCAGGAGGAUGCAGAAUUCCAGCAGCCAUGGAACGAAGCAGAUGACGCCCGAUGCGACGUAUGCCUUGGCUCUGGCACCAAUACUUAAGUUCACGUCGGGGUCAUCAGUAACUGCGAAACCACCAAGCACAGGAUGCGGUGAAGCGAAGGAUGUUCUGCUCCUGAACGUGACACCAGCGGCCAUGCCACCUGGAGCUGGAGCAUCUGGACAUGUCGCCAUUCGUGGUCUGCAACAAUUCUUCAGCAGUGUCCACCACCAAAUAACGACGCACCACAAGGGCGGUGUCAAGAACCAGUCGACUUACCUCGUGGACAUUAUGCCUGGUGUACUCAGCAAACCAAUGAGGAACCGCCUGUCGGAAUGAAGGCAAUAUUCGGUGCGUGGCUGAUCGUCAUCGCAGGAUUCCGGAGAACAAACGGCCCCGCUGUGCACUACUACCGGUAUUGGCCCAAGCAAGAGGCCCCGUUUCUACCAGAAAGUUCGCCUUCGUGCAUGGCGUUCACCUCCAGCGUUUCCCGGUAAACAUUACGUUUGCAUAAGCUGCCGUUGCCGGGAAGCGUGAUAAGCAGUCGGGGAUCUUUGAAUGCUAUGGCGUCGUACCCUUAAAGGCGAAGUUCAAGGAUCCUCCAAGUUUUUCUUUUUGGUAUGACUGCUCGUACUAUAUCUUAUCGCUUUACAGUUCCAGUUAUUGCAUUACCUACCCACAUGAUCUUGACCUGCGUGUUCUAAAAGCAAUGCUCUUGUUGCUGUAUCUGAGAGCGACUUCAGAUGGAAGCUCUAAGUGCUUUCGCGGCAUCAGUCGUGCUGUACUCCUAGGAAAAAAAAAUUUCUGCGUCCUAUACAAAUAUUGGCCGCAAUGCAUACUACUGUGUAGGUCAGCGUCACCACCGCCAAGUUGGCCUUUUUCUUGGCGCAAAAGUUAAGCGAAUAAAGCAC